GAGUUUGAUCAUGGCUCAGAACGAACGCUGGCGGCAGGCUUAACACAUGCAAGUCGAGCGCUGUAGCAAUACAGAGCGGCGCACGGGAGAGUAAUACGUGGGAACCUACCUUUUGGUUCGGAAUAACGUCGGGAAACUGACGCUAAUACCGGAUAAGCCCUUACGGGGAAAGAUUUAUCGCCGAUAGAUGGGCCCACGUUGGAUUAGCUAGUUGGUGAGGUAACGGCUCACCAAGGCAACGAUCCAUAGCUGGUCUGAGAGGAUGAUCAGCCUCACUGGGACUGAGACACGGCCCAGACUCCUACGGGAGGCAGCAGUGGGGAAUAUUGGACAAUGGGGGCAACCCUGAUCCAGCCAUGCCGCGUGAGUGAUGAAGGCCUUC
rnacentral:rRNA from 1 species